CCUACGGGGGACAGCAGUGAGGAAUAUUGGUCAAUGGUCGGGAGACUGAACCAGCCAAGUAGCGUGAAGGAUGACUGCACUGAGUGUUGUAAACUUCUUUUGUCAGGGAAUAAAGUGUGCCACGCGUGCCCUGUUGUAUGUACCUUAUGAAUAAGGAUCGGCUAACUCCGUGCCAGCAGCCGCGGUAAUACGGAGGAUCCGAGCGUUAUCCGGAUUUAUUGGGUUUAAAGGGUGCGUAGGUGGGUUGUUAAGUCAGUUGUGAAAGUUCGCGGCUCAACCGUAGAAUUGCAGUUGAAACUGGCAGUCUUGAGUAGAGUAGAGGUAGGCGGAAUGCGUGGUGUAGCGGUGAAAUGCAUAGAUAUCGCGAAGAACUCCGAUUGCGAAGGCAGCUUACUGGACUGACACUGACACUGAGGCUCGAAAGUGUGGGUAUCAAACAGGAUUAGAUACCCGAGUAGUC
rnacentral:rRNA from 1 species